rnacentral:rRNA from 1 species
UACGUAGGGUGCGAGCGUUGUCCGGAAUUAUUGGGCGUAAAGAGCUCGUAGGCGGUUUGUCGCGUCGGCCGUGAAAACUUGGGGCUUAACCCCGAGCCUGCGGUCGAUACGGGCAGACUAGAGUUCGGUAGGGGAGUCUGGAAUUCCUGGUGUAGCGGUGAAAUGCGCAGAUAUCAGGAGGAACACCGGUGGCGAAGGCGGGACUCUGGGCCGAUACUGACGCUGAGGAGCGAAAGCGUGGGGAGCAAACAGG